GUGGGAGAUGUUGGCGUAACUUUUUGGAAGGUCCAAGAGGAUGGCAUUAUUCAAUGAUAAAAUUGAAUUCAGAUGAUAUUUUUCUGUGGUAUGAUCCCCUCUUCUGUGAACUCAUACUGCACAAACUUCGACAAAAAGGAAAGGAUUAUAGUGAGAAGCUUAAAUUUGAAUUUUACUUUGGGGAUUGUUUAAUCAAAGAAUGCGGUGUUCGCCCAAUAUAUGUCUCAGAGUACACAAACUUUGUUCAACAAAAGAAAGUGAAGGAAACUACUCAAAGAAAGAGGCAUCGGAACAUUGAUGAUGACCGACACCAACUCCCUCCAACAAAGAAGUCCAAGGAGUCUUCAAUCAUUCAAUCCAGUCCCUUGAAUUUUGAGUCCAAGACAUCUCAUAAUGUCCAUGAUUUGCUUCUUAUUCUGUCCCAGUUGAAUUUGGAAUCUUCAAAGAAUCACACUCAUCACAAAUAAAUUACCUAGGAUCCACUACUUGAUCGUUUGACAUAGUUAUGUUAUUCAGUCAUCAUUCUCAGCCAAAAAAAAGCUGACGGUGAAAACGAUGGAUGUUGCUGUUUCGCACUCUCUACUCAACCAAUUUCUUCAAAAAAGCUUGUCUGGAGGAUUUCUGUCUGUUUACAAGAGUUCAACUUCUACAGCAGAGGCUUUGGAAAAGAAUCUUCAUGAUUUAGCCAACUGUAUUUGUAGGUAUAAAUUGUGGUGAAGCAGUGAAGCUUUUUUCUCCUCUGGAUUUCAUAACUAAGUAUUCAUCAAAUGUGGAGGGGUGUGUCGAUUGCUAUCACAGCUGAUGCUGACUGCAGCAAGCAGAGUUUGACAUAGUAUAUCACUAUAUUGUAUUCAGCCAUCGUUCUCGGCCAAGAAAAGCUGACAGUAACAACCAUGGAUGCUGUGCUUCAUGUGCUAUUCUCAACCAAUUUCUUCAGAAAAAGUGUGAUGUGUUCAUCAGUUUUGGAGGUGAGGAUACCCGCAUAAAAAUGAUGUGUUGAUGCUGUUCUCAGAGAGAAAAGAAAAGUGAUGUUUGGCAUUAAGAGGGGUGGGCGUUGAAAUCUGAAUGGGUACGUGUGGCUUUUCGAAUGAUUUAAAAAUUAUCUUCAACUUGUCAUAAACUUUAAUAGUAGAUCAUGAUGACGGACACUGACUGUGCUGUCCAAUUUGUCAUGUUAAUUCAAUGGUUAAUAACACACUGUAUAAUGACUUAAUGAGGCUUGAAUUAUCCGGCCGUGCAAAGGUAUUUUAUGACAUGCAUGUAGUGCGUGUGAUUGUUGUAAA